rnacentral:rRNA from 1 species
GGGGGGGGGGGGGGGGGGGGGUGGGGGGGGGGGGGCGGGGGGGGCGUUCGGGGGGGGGGGCGCACGGGUGCGGGACGCGGGGGAACCUGCCCUUAGGUUGGGAAUAACUCCCCGAGAGGGGUGCUAAUACCGGAUAAUGGCUUCGGCCCAAAGAUUUAUCGCCUUUGGAUGGGCCCGCGUUGGAUUAGCUAGUUGGUAGGGUAAAAGCAUACCAAGGCGACGAUCCAUAGCGGGUCUGAGAGGAUGAUCAGCCACACUGGGACUGAGACACGGCCCAGACUCCUACGGGAGGCAGCAGUGGGGAAUAUUGGACAAUGGGCGAAAGCCUGAUCCAGCAAUGCCGCGUGAGUGAUGAAGGCCUUAGGGUUGUAAAGCUCUUUUACCCGGGAUGAUAAUGACAGUACCGGGAGAAUAAGCUCCGGCUAACUCCGUG